GAUGAACGCUGGCGGCGUGCCUAAUACAUGCAAGUCGAGCGAACAGAUGAGGAGCUUGCUCCUCUGACGUUAGCGGCGGACGGGUGAGUAACACGUGGAUAACCUACCUAUAAGACUGGGAUAACUUCGGGAAACCGGAGCUAAUACCGGAUAAUAUAUUGAACCGCAUGGUUCAAUAGUGAAAGACGGUUUUGCUGUCACUUAUAGAUGGAUCCGCGCCGCAUUAGCUAGUUGGUAAGGUAACGGCUUACCAAGGCGACGAUGCGUAGCCGACCUGAGAGGGUGAUCGGCCACACUGGAACUGAGACACGGUCCAGACUCCUACGGGAGGCAGCAGUAGGGAAUCUUCCGCAAUGGGCGAAAGCCUGACGGAGCAACGCCGCGUGAGUGAUGAAGGUCUUAGGAUCGUAAAACUCUGUUAUUAGGGAAGAACAAAUGUGUAAGUAACUAUGCACGUCUUGACGGUACCUAAGCAGAAAGCCACGGCUAAAUACGUG
rnacentral:rRNA from 1 species